rnacentral:rRNA from 1 species
AGUGAACGCUGGCGGUAGGCCUAACACAUGCAAGUCGAACGGCAGCACAGUAAGAGCUUGCUCUUACGGGUGGCGAGUGGCGGACGGGUGAGGAAUACAUCGGAAUCUACUUUUUCGUGGGGGAUAACGUAGGGAAACUUACGCUAAUACCGCAUACGACCUACGGGUGAAAGCAGGGGAUCUUCGGACCUUGCGCGGUUGAAUGAGCCGAUGUUGGGUUAGCUAGUUGGCGGGGUAAAGGCCCACCAAGGCGACGAUCCGUAGCUGGUCUGAGAGGAUGACCGGCCACACUGGAACUGAGACACGGUCCAGACUCCUACGGGAGGCAGCAGUGGGGAAUAUUGGACAAUGGGCGCAAGCCUGAUCCAGCCAUACCGCGUGGGUGAAGAAGGCCUUCGGGUUGUAAAGCCCUUUUGUUGGGAAAGAAAAGCAGCAGGUUAAUACCCCGCUGUUCUGACGGUACCCAAAGAAUAAGCACCGGCUAACUUCGUG